AGGCAUAAUUCCCAAUCUAAUCUAUGUUAUUAUACCAACGAUUCCGCUGCUUUUGCUGAUACUAGUUGCUUUUGGAACAUGCUGUUUCCAGAUGUUGCAUAAAAGGAAAGCAAGGAGAAACUUCAUCAAAGACUCCACUCCAUUAUCAUCUGAGUGCCUUGCAGAAAGUUUAAAUUCCAACCUGUAAAGGAAGAACAAAAACUAGUCCGAACCAGUCUACACUAUGGAUUUCAAAAAGCACGAGGAAGGAAAGUGGCAUGGAGGUAUAAUAAUGAACUGAUAUUGCUCUGGAAAAUAAGAAUAGUUUUGUAAUCCUUGAUCAGUGUAAGGAAUGGCAUCAUUAGUUUGGAAUGGCUUGAAAUCUCAAAGGAUCUGCAAGAUGAACUGUAAGCUCCCCCUUGAGGCAAAUGUCAAAAUAAUUUUUAUAUGUUCACAGUUUCACUUACAAAAUAUACUGAGUGAGGCCUGCUUGCUCUGCUAAAGGAUACACCCAAACUUCAUGUAAACAAAAUGGACCACGCAGAUAUAAUUUCCAUGGAAAUAUCUGGAAUUACCUGUGUCGGGAGUAGUUACUUUGGCUUUUUUUUAAUCUUCAUAAAUUUUGACCUACUUCAUGUAAUAUAAGUUGUUAUUCCAAUUUACAGUGUGCAGAAACAUUUUACCUUUGCUAAAGUGUUUGAUGAAAAUAGAGUGUUCUGAUAUUUAUAUUUAUGGGCAUUUGAGUUUUACGCACCUGCUGUUUUCAUUAAAAACUGAAUUCACACAGAGACAAAGAAAUCUUUCCAUUGGGAAAACAUUUCUUUUGUGGAAUAGUUCAUGUCCUUUCUGUUUCUUUGCUUUUGGUUCAAUAAAGGUUAGGAAGUCUCUUCAGAAAUAAGGAACCAUUUCACUGACUGUGCUAUAUAUCUGCUGAGACACUACUUAGAGGCAAGAACUGUCUAACUUCAAUUGUGCAAGACAUGUGCCUUACAAUUAUUCCUAAUUUAAAAUUAAACAGAUUUUUGUAAUAAAAUAUCUUUACUAAUACUUGUAUAGACACCGAUGUAGUUAACCUUGGAAAAAAAUGGCAUCUGCAGUACAAACCACAGGUCUUCACAUGUUGCCUAUAGAAUUGCAAAUAGCUCCCUGAGUGUCAGGAAUCAAUUCGGCUCCUCCCUGUCAGUCAAACAGGAUGACUACUGGAAGGCUUUGGAGUCAGUCAGUUGCUGUUUGGCUGAGGGUUUCCUAACUGAAUUUAGCCUGUAGAAUAUACAAAAUUCAAUGGUUUUCAGCAGUGUGAUGCUAAGCAGAACACACUGAUAUUACAGAUUUAAAAAAACAAGAAGAAGAAAAACAAAACUACAAAUCACAUCCAUUAAUGGGCCAUGGACUAGAGGUCACUGACGUUUGCUUAUCUUUGAUGAGUGUUGUUUGUGAUUGUGAACUGUGGCUUCCUUCUGUCUGAUGGAGUUUCCUCAACAUGUAGUGUUUGUUCUUCUCAAGAGAGUUGUAACUAUUUUGUCUUCAAAUGUCCCUGUGUUACUUUUAGCCAAAUAAAGAGUUCUUGUUUCUGAAGAA
rnacentral:lncRNA from 1 species